GGACACGGAGGUUCUGAACAAGGCCAUUCUCACCGGAAAGGUUGUUUCGGUUCCCGUCAAGGUCGUGGCCGUUCAAGAGGACGGUUCAGUGGUGGACGUGUCGGAGGCUGUGGAAUGCAGGUCUGCGGAUGAAGACGUCGUCAAGCCGGGAAGCAAGGAGCAGAAGCCCAGCUUCGUGAUCUCUGAGCAUCUGGAUGAAGCAAAGGUCGCCUCCUGUUUCCCAAAAACCUUGCACGGAGCCCACCAAGGAGAGCGCUCGCAAUACAGUGGACGAUCCAAAAACUAUAUACCGGUGGAAGGUUGAAUG